GUGAGAUGGAAUCAGCGUUUGGACAUGCGAUGUUAUGCUGAUUCCAUCUCAUGA
rnacentral:pre_miRNA from 1 species